GGGGGCGUGGCGGAAUUGGCAGACGCAGGAGACUUAAAAUCUUCCGGCUCCGGUCGUGCGGGUUCGAGUCCCGCCGCCCCUA
rnacentral:tRNA from 1 species